rnacentral:rRNA from 1 species
CCUACGGGUGGCUGCAGUGGGGAAUAUUGGGCAAUGGGCGCAAGCCUGACCCAGCAACGCCGCGUGAAGGAAGAAGGCUUUCGGGUUGUAAACUUCUUUUAAGAGGGAAGAGCAGAAGACGGUACUUCUUGAAUAAGCCACGGCUAACUACGUGCCAGCAGCCGCGGUAAUACGGAGGUGGCAAGCGUUGUCCGGAUUUAAUGGGUUUAAAGGGCGUGCAGACGGGAAGAAAAGUCAGAUGUGAAAUCCCGAGGCUCAACCGAGGAACUGCCUUUGAAACUGUUGUUCUUGAGUACCGGAGAGGUAAUCGGAAUUCCUGGUGUAGCGGUGAAAUGCGUAGAUAUAAGGAAGAACACCAGUGGCGAAGGCGGAUGACUGGACGGAAACUGACGGUGAGGCGCGAAAGCGUGGGGAGCAAACAGGAUUAGAUACCCCAGUAGUC